rnacentral:lncRNA from 1 species
CCCAACAUGGUCAUGGCAUCGUCAAGCAACGAUCCACAAGGGAGGAUAAAGGGGAUUGACAACCCAAGCUUUGUGGCUCUUGGAUGACCUCUCAUAAGGCCCAAAACCCACGCCUCGUUUUCUUACAUGCAUGUUUCAUGUGAGAUGGUGGUGUGGGUUUCGGUACGUCUCAAGUACAGGACGGCUAGAGAAUUUAUUGUAAUGCUAUACAUUAGGAUAUAUGUCACACGUUAUGACAUGAUCUUGUGUGAGGAAAAGGGUCAGACAAGACAUAAAGUCUCUCAGGGCAUCAUUGGCAAUCCUCUAGAACCGCAAACAUCUCGACUCUCGCUCCUCUAACUCAAACCCAACUUAAAAAAUACUAGGGAUUUCAUAAUCCGUUAGCUAAAUCGGUAGUGUCCUAAGAUCGAUUUCAUCGUCCGAUGAACCAUUUAGGGGAUAUUUGGCCCGUUUGACAAGGAAACAUCCGCACCAUAUGGAUCUUCAUCUCAACAUUGUAUGAAACUACGCAAGGCCUAAUAUUCUAUAAAACUUCUUCUCAACCAAUCCAAUCAGUCCCUCCCGUGGGGCUUGUCAGUUUCGUGAUUUCUCCCACAUCGUGUGGCUACACAAAAUGGGGUAGGGACCUUAUCUAUUUAAUAUGGUGGGGUGCCAAGCGUUGGAGGUAUCCAUAUCCUUGUUUAGCAUAAUGUAUUCUACCCUCACUACUAGAAAAAUAGCUAUAGCCAAUAUGGACAGUAAUGGCGCACUAUACAUGUGGUGUGCCAU